rnacentral:ncRNA from 1 species
UAACAUAUAGAAAGGAGAGAACUUUGGCAAUCCCCUUGAGAAGGACGGAACGAGCUUUUGCUCACACUACAACACCUCGGUGUUUGAAGGCAUUGCUCUACGGAGCGUCUUGGCAUAUUGCCACCCAAUUUUUU